GACGAACGCUGGCGGCGUGCUUAACACAUGCAAGUCGAACGAUGAACUUGGAGCUUGCUCUGGGGGAUUAGUGGCGAACGGGUGAGUAACACGUGAGUAACCUGCCCUGGACUCUGGGAUAACUUCGAGAAAUCGGAGCUAAUACCGGAUAGGACCUUGCACCGCAUGGUGUGGGGUGGAAAGUUUUUCGGUUUGGGAUGGACUCGCGGCCUAUCAGCUUGUUGGUGAGGUAAUGGCUCACCAAGGCGUCGACGGGUAGCCGGCCUGAGAGGGUGACCGGCCACACUGGGACUGAGACACGGUCCAGACUCCUACGGGAGGCAGCAGUGGGGAGUAUUGCACAAUGGGCGCAAGCCUGAUGCAGCAACGCCGCGUGCGGGAUGACGGCCUUCGGGUUGUAAACCGCUUUUAGUAGGGAAGAAGCCUUCGGGUGACGGUACCUGCAGAAAAAGGACCGGCUAACUACGUGCCAGCAGCCGCAGUAACAC
rnacentral:rRNA from 1 species